GAUUGACCUCGGAUCAGGUAGGGAUACCCGCUGAACUUAAGCAUAUCAAUAAGCGGAGGAAAAGAAACCAACCGGGAUUGCCCCAGUAACGGCGAGUGAAGCGGCAACAGCUCAAAUUUGAAAUCUGGCCCCGUUCGGGGUCCGAGUUGUAAUUUGGAGAGGGUGCUUCGGGCGAGGCCCCGGCCUAAGUCCCUUGGAACAGGACGUCCGAGAGGGUGAGAACCCCGUAUGCGGCCGGUGACCGACCCCAAGUGAAGCCCCUUCGACGAGUCGAGUUGUUUGGGAAUGCAGCUCUAAAUGGGUGGUAAAUUUCAUCUAAAGCUAAACACUGGCCAGAGACCGAUAGCGCACAAGUAGAGUGAUCGAAAGAUGAAAAGCACUUUGGAAAGAGAGUUAAAAAGUACGUGAAAUUGUUGAAAGGGAAGCGCUUGCAACCAGACCUGUCGCCGGGCGAUCAGCCGUCGUUCUCGGCGGUGCACUCGCCCGCUGCAGGCCAGCAUCGGUUCGGGCGGUCGGAUAAAGGCCCCGGGAACGUGGCUCC
rnacentral:rRNA from 1 species